rnacentral:lncRNA from 1 species
AAGCUGCGGGUGGCAGGAAGCUGGUGCUUGGGGACGCUGAAAAGGCCCAGACACUGGGACCGCGGGCGGCACCUCCUGGCUGGACCUCGGUGUGAGGAGUGGUAGCUGUGCUCCUCUCGAUGGCAAGCAGGACCACCUGAUUUAUAGAGGAAAUGGUCAGGCUGAGUCAGAGGAUGUGGCCUAGGAGGACCAGCGCUGGCUGGGGGGGAGAGGCCUCCCCUGGUGUGUACCUCCUUGUAUAGAACGAGCAGAAGGAAAGCUCCCCGCUGGCCUCCUGCACCAUCUCACCCGGUCCUUACAGCAGCGGGGAGCCCACUGGGAGACCAAGUCUCCUCCACUGUCCUCCCCAGGCCACCCCAGAACCCAGCAGGACUCUCACAUGUCCGUCAUCGGACUGACCACCCCAUGCUCCAGGUAAGCCCACCUCCUCCUGUUCUUCCUGGGGCGCAGGCUCCGGUGGCCCAUGGCAGGGCACACAGAAGGGAGCAGGCCCCUGCACCAGCUGUCUGGCAUCUCAGUGAUGAAUGGGGAGCUCACGUGUCAUGGAUGGAGGCUGUCAUCUGUCACCUCCACCAUGGAUUGUGGAAAGAGCAUGAGAUUGGAACCCAGUGGCCUCAGAGAGCCCUGAGGUCACCCAAGGGGCAUCCCAGGAUGGCUUGACACCCAUAAAGCUCCUCCCCAAAGAUCAUAAGAACAGAAACACACCUGCCUCAGUCAGUCCCUGCUCCAGACACUGGCCACCUCCACAGGAGGGGCUCCUGUACCUUCCCGCACUUAGGUGACCCUGGCCAGGGGACCCUCAGAUACCAGGCCUCCAAGGUAUGAACCCGGGAUGUCCUCCCAGGAGGCUGAUGGCCAAGGUCCUCACGGACUCUUCCACAACUGUCACCUGAAGCCAUCAAUCAGAUGCCAACAAACAUUUACCCAGCACAGGUCAGCAGCCGCAAAGGUCAGGAAACGAGACAGCAGACCACAUAGAGCCUCAUGCCAUCGGUGCAGAGCCCCCAGCUACCUCACACUGGCCCUGCAGCCUCUGCAGUUCGCAGGAGAGGAACCUGCGUGGGCUUUAGAGGCCUCAGGCCCAGCAGAGGUCCAGCCCCCAAGACACCGUGCCUGAGGGGAAUGGCUUGCUCUCCCCUCUGCCAGGGGAACCACAGUCCUCGCCCAGACACUGUCAUGGGUGCUGCCACCUAUGGGCUGGGCCGCAGGGGGAGACUGCAGCACGGGACCCUGCCCCCCACGGGGCUAACAUGUUGGAGAGAUGGUCUUUGCAUGCAGGGAGAGUCAACCUGCAGGAUGAUCGCCACGUGUUCAAACGCAGCCUCCACUGAGGCUCGACGGGCAGGUCCCAAGUCCAAGCCUUGUAUCUCUGCGGGCUCUUGUCCCCUUGGUACCGGGCAGUCGGCAGGGGGUAGUCGGGGGGCCCAGACAGGGCAGUGUGCACAUCUCUGAGUAUAUGUGUCCUGUUCUCUUUAGUGAAGGUCAGGAGAGCCUCUGACACAAUUCUAUAUUCCCUGCAAUCCCUGGUAGAAAAUUCGUUCCCCUGGGGGUUUUCAGGAAGACUGAGUAGCUAACAUAAAGACACCUUGGGCUUCCCGCGUCAGACAUAUUUUCCUCAACACAACAUUCUCCGUGCUCAUCCAUUGUUGGCAACAGGUCCACCUUGGCCCCUGGAGCCCUACCUCCACUAGUUUGUUCUGCA